rnacentral:tRNA from 1 species
AUGGGCGUGGCGCAACAGGUAGCGCAGCGGUCUCCAAAACCGCCGGUUGAGGGUUCGAGUCCUUCCGCCCAUG